rnacentral:misc_RNA from 1 species
UCCUGAUACAAUGAAAAGUUAUGGAGAUCUAGCUGUCUUCUACUAUCGUCUUCAACAUACAGAAUUAGCCUUGAAGUAUGCUUUAUUUCUAAUCUGAAAGGUUUUUUCUAGAUUAUUUUGAUCCCAUGCUGGUGUUCCUUCUCUAUCUUUUGUGGCUUUCUAGUUUGUGAUUCUUUAAUUUGCAUAUAUAGUCAAAUUUCCUCCACUGAUUGGUUUUCAUACUCUAAAGUAACACAUUUUCGAGACUAGCUAUUUCCUAAUCUCCUCGGUUCGUAAGCUUUGAGACUGAACAUUUCUUUAAAAACUUAAGCCGGAAAUGAGAUGUGUGCUUUUUUUUUUU